UCGCGGUGGCGGAGCGUCGUUUGCGACGCCCAACACACAAAACAAGCGGUGAGUGCUUUGGGGUGGGGUGACUGCGUACCUUUUGUAUAAUGGGUCAGCGACUUAUAUUCUGUAGCAAGGUUAACCGUAUAGGGGAGCCGUAGGGAAACCGAGUCUUAACCGGGCGUUAAGUUGCAGGGUAUAGACCCGAAACCCGGUGAUCUAGCCAUGGGCAGGUUGAAGGUUGGGUAACACUAACUGGAGGACCGAACCGACUAAUGUUGAAAAA
rnacentral:rRNA from 1 species